CUUCACCGAACCGAGCCACAAAGGUCGUUCCUCCGACCGUUCCUGACCGUAGGUCGCGAGGAGCGCCUGCGCCUC
rnacentral:antisense_RNA from 1 species